UCGCCCUCCCUGGUUCCGGGCCGCCCGAACCGUGUCCGUCCACUGUCCCGCAACCGGAGCCCCGCUGUCCGG
rnacentral:tRNA from 1 species